rnacentral:rRNA from 1 species
UACGUAGGGGGCAAGCGUUGUCCGGAAUCAUUGGGCGUAAAGAGCGCGUAGGCGGCCCGGUAAGUCCGCUCUGAAAGUCAGAGGCUCAACCUCUGAAUGCGGGUGGAUACUGCCGGGCUAGAGUCCGGAAGAGGCGAGUGGAAUUCCUGGUGUAGCGGUGAAAUGCGCAGAUAUCGGGAAGAACACCCGUGGCGAAGGCGGUUCUCUGGGACGGUACUGACGCUGAGACGCGAAAGCGUGGGGAGCGAACAGG